rnacentral:miRNA from 1 species
UAUGUGUGUAAGUGUAUGCAUACAUAUAUAUGUGUAUACAUAUAUAUGUGUAUACAUACAUAUACACAUACAUACAUA